UCUCUAUUUCUCUCCCUCAGUUGUCUCUCUUUCUUCCUCUCUCUCUCGCUAAGUUCUCUCUCUCUCUAUCUCUCUCACACACGAUUGGACAUCAGCGAUUCUCUCUGUCUCUCACGGUCUCUCUCUCUCAGAUACAUCCACAGCAUUUGAUUCACAGUCUAAGUACUGAGGAACUCUAAAGGACAGCUUCGAUUUGCCAAGGAGUUACAAAGAGUUCAUGUAACACAGUUGAGGGGGUCUAUAACCAGAGGCUUCAGAAUUUGGCUCUUACUCUUGAUAAGGUGCUUACCUUUCUAUUUUUACUUAAGAGGGAGGUUCUCUCUCUCUC